rnacentral:rRNA from 1 species
UACGUAGGGGGCAAGCGUUGUCCGGAUUUAUUGGGCGUAAAGAGCGUGUAGGCGGCCAGGUAGGUCGGUUGUGAAAACUGGAGGCUCAACCUUCAGACGUCGACCGAAACCAUCUGGCUAGAGUCCGGGAGAGGAGAGUGGAAUUCCGUGGUGUAGCGGUGAAAUGCGCAGAUAUCAGGAAGAACACCCGUGGCGAAAGCGGCUCUCUGGAACGGUACUGACGCUGAGACGCGAAAGCGUGGGGAGCGAACAGG